GACGAACGCUGGCGGCGUGCUUAACACAUGCAAGUCGAACGGAAAGGCCCUGCUUUUGUGGGGUGCUCGAGUGGCGAACGGGUGAGUAACACGUGAGUAACCUGCCCUUGACUUUGGGAUAACUUCAGGAAACCGGGGCUAAUACCGGAUAGGAGCUCCUGCUGCAUGGUGGGGGUUGGAAAGUUUCGGCGGUUGGGGAUGGACUCGCGGCUUAUCAGCUUGUUGGUGGGGUAGUGGCUUACCAAGGCUUUGACGGGUAGCCGGCCUGAGAGGGUGACCGGCCACAUUGGGACUGAGAUACGGCCCAGACUCCUACGGGAGGCAGCAGUGGGGAAUAUUGCACAAUGGGCGGAAGCCUGAUGCAGCAACACCGCGUGCGGGAUGACGGCCUUCGGGUUGUAAACCGCUUUCGCCUGUGACGAAGCGUGAGUGACGGUAAUGGGUAAAGAAGCACCGGCUAACUACGUG
rnacentral:rRNA from 1 species